rnacentral:lncRNA from 1 species
AUCCGACCCGACCUGAUCCACUUGCAUCUCUAAUAGAGAGUUUCUUCCAAACUCGAAGAAUGAAAAGCAAAACAUGAAAAACAAAAGAAACAGAAAAUGAUUUCUACUUUUGAUUCAUUUAUUCUUUUGGUUUACCCAUUCUACUCUAGCUAGAACAAACAUCUGAAAUUCUUAGUUGCAUCGCCCAUUGUUGCUGCCAA